rnacentral:rRNA from 1 species
ACGCGCCGAACCUUACCAUCCCUUGACAUGUCGUGCCAUCCGGAGAGAUCCGGGGUUCCCUUCGGGGACGCGAACACAGGUGCUGCAUGGCUGUCGUCAGCUCGUGUCGUGAGAUGUUGGGUUAAGUCCCGCAACGAGCGCAACCCACGUCCUUAGUUGCCAUCAUUCAGUUGGGCACUCUAGGGAGACUGCCGGUGAUAAGCCGCGAGGAAGGUGUGGAUGACGUCAAGUCCUCAUGGCCCUUACGGGA